UCGACCGCACACCGGUCGUCCCCAUCUCGAGAAACACACCCCCUCCUGCCCCCACACACCAGUCUCCGGCGAGAUCCCAUCGAUCUCCGGCGUGCGGCGCCGCCUCCCUCAUCCGGCAGGAGGAAAGGAACCGUUUGCUGCCCCCGCACGCACCCAUACUUGUCGGCUCCGCCGAGUCCCCCUGCGGCACCAAUCUCAAGAGCCCCUCCAACUGCUCCGACAGCUCGAUUCCGUGCAUCCCGGCUCGAUUGCUUCAGGAAGGAGCAGGAUGACGACGAGGCGGAGCUCCUAGACACUGUUUGAAUUUUGAAGGAUAAGCUGGUCAAUACAGGAAAAUCUAAAAGAAUGCGACUAAAAUCAAUAUUUGAAGAUGUUCAAAAUCAAACAGGAUGACUACCUGAAGUACGAGCCUCAGAAAUCGUAAGAAGCAGAAGUUAUUGGUACUUGCUCGCACUCAUUUCUCAUGUUGAUGCUCAGGCAUAACCUCACAAAGCUUUGGCACACACUCACUUAUAAUCAGGGCUCGCUUAAUUUUAUCUUUCUAAUUCUUUUGAGAAAUACCAUAUCAAUAUUAUUUGUGAUGACUUGUCAGUCAUAAUUUCCAGUCAUGUAAUAUCCCAUUAUAUUAUUAGUAUUAGGCGUUAGCCAGAUACUAAUCUUCGGUUGGCUGUGAAUGUAAGCUUUGUGUUCUCCUUUGUUUUUAUCUGAUUAUGCUAUGAAAAGAAGAGUAAAUAUUUUUUCUGUGAUGGUGAGUUGUUAGUUCUGUAUGAUUUCAGAGCACAUUGUCAUGGGUUAGCAUGAAGAGAGUAAUAACCGUGCCUGCUGAAAAUAAUUCAGCAAGUGGGUGGUUUACAUAAUUAUAUGAGUUAGAACCUUGCUAUACACACGAUAGUACACAGAUGAUUUCUGAAAGAUGCUGAAGAUCGCACCAUUUGGUGCACGCAGCAGCACUGCUCCACCGUUUGAUAUAAGUGUUGGCUGCAUGUCGUGUCUGUACUGUCGUCUGCACAACAAUAUCUUAUUGGUUAUAGGAACUGGAUGUAGGUAUUAACAGUAUUUUGGAAAAAGGGUAGCAUAGAAUUAGUUAGUGUUGUUCUUGCUUGGAUUAUGAGAAGAUCAGCAUGUGCAAUAAAAUCUAUAGCUAUCUUGCUCUACUAUUCAAACCAUAUUCUUGCUAUAAUUUGUUCUGAGCUCCCAGUUUCUGUAUAAGUCUAUUGGUCCGGAUUUUUAGCAUUGUGUAUGUAUAGUGUGCUUUUCUACUCCUUGGGUACAUAAAUGCACACAAGGUUUUGAGUACUAAACAGAAGCAACAGAAAAGGCGUGAUUAAAACUUCUAUAC